CAUGAAGUCGGAGUUGCUAGUAAUCGCGGAUCAGAAUGCCGCGGUGAAUGCGUUCCCGGGUCUUGUACACACCGCCCGUCACACCAUGGAAGUUGGGGGCGCCCGAAGUUGCCUAAGAAAUAAGGUACCUAAGGCGAAACCAAUGACUGGGGUGAAGUCGUAACAAGGUAAC
rnacentral:rRNA from 1 species